CUCUAGCUGCUCUGUACUUCGUAGCUCUCAUGACGUUUGGGAACUACGUCCUCUUCAACCUGCUGGUGGCCAUCUUGGUAGAGGGCUUUCAGGCUGAGGGAGAUGCUAAUCGCUCGUAUUCAGAUGAUGACAGUUUCCCCUCUAACUUUGACGAGAGUGAGAAGCUUAAUGAUUCUCUCAAACUGUCUGAUCCUAAGAUCUGCACUUUGAC